rnacentral:rRNA from 1 species
UACGGGGGGGGGCAAGCGUUGUUCGGAAUUACUGGGCGUAAAGGGCGCGUAGGCGGUCAGCACAAGUCAAUUGUGAAAUCUCCGAGCUUAACUCGGAAAGGUCAACUGAAACUGUGCGACUAGAGUGCGGAAGGGGCAACUGGAAUUCUUGGUGUAGCGGUGAAAUGCGUAGAUAUCAAGAGGAACACCUGCGGCGAAGGCGGGUUGCUGGGCCGACACUGACGCUGAAGCGCGAAAGCCAGGGGAGCGAACGGG